CGGGGGAUAUUGCACAAUGGGCGAAAGCCUGAUGCAGCGACGCCGCGUGGGGGAUGAAGGCUUUCGGGUUGUAAACCUCUUUCGCUAUCGAACAAGGCCCGCUUAGGGUGGGUUGAGGGUAGGUGGAGAAGAAGCGCCGGCUAACUACGUGCCAGCAGCCGCGGUAAUACGUAGGGCGCGAGCGUUGUCCGGAAUUAUUGGGCGUAAAGGGCUUGUAGGCGGCUUGUUGCGCCUGCUGUGAAAACGCGGGGCUUAACUUCGCGCGUGAAGUGGGUACGGGCAGGCUUGAGUGUGGUAGGGAUGACUGGAAGUCCAGGUGUAGCGGUGGAAUGCGCAGAUAUCUGGAGGAACACCGAUGGCGAAUGCAGGUAAUUGGGACAUUACUGACGCUGAGGAGCGAAAGCAUGGGUAGAGAACAGG
rnacentral:rRNA from 1 species